UACAGAGGAUGCAAGCGUUAUCCGGAAUGAUUGGGCGUAAAGCGUCUGUAGGUGGCUUUUUAAGUCCGCCGUCAAAUCCCAGGGCUCAACUCUGGACAGGCGGUGGAAACUACCAAGCUGGAGUACGGUAGGGGCAGGAGGGAAUUUCCGGUGGAGCGGUGAAAUGACGUAGAGAUCGGAAAGAACACCAACGGCGAAAGCACUCUGCUGGGCCGACACUGACGCUGAGAGACGAAAGCUAGGGGAGCGAAUGGG
rnacentral:rRNA from 1 species